UGGCUAGACGAGGGCUUAACUGUCUCCUCCCCCCAGUCAGUGAAAUUGAUCUCCCCGUGCAGAAGCGGGGAUUAGUACAUAAGACGAGAAGACCCUAUGGAGCUUUAGACACUAGACAGCCCACGUUAUACCCCCUCCCCUAAGAGGAGAAAACAUUGUGGCCCCUGUCUCCACUGUCUUCGGUUGGGGCGACCGCGGAGGAUAAAGAAGCCUCCAUGUGGACCAAGGUUACGAACCUCACAACUAAGGGCUGCCGCCCUAAGCAACAGAAAUUCUGACCAGAAUGAUCCGGCCUAGAGCCGAUUAACGGAACAAGUUACCCUAGGGAUAACAGCGCAAUCCUCUCCCAGAGUCCCUAUCGACGAGGGGGUUUACGACCUCGAUGUUGGAUCAGGACAUCCUAUUGGUGCAGCC
rnacentral:rRNA from 1 species